rfam:Camelus ferus unplaced genomic scaffold scaffold2421, whole genome shotgun sequence.
GAAGGUAUAGCUCAGUGGUAGAGUGAGUGCUUAGCAUGCAUGAGGUCCUGAGUUCAAUGCCCAGGACCUCCA